AAGACUAUACUUCACAGGAUCAUUUCUGUAGUCAGUCUUCUUUAUUUUUCAUUGCAAAAUGAAAAAUUUCGCUCCCGCGAUGAGGAGGUAUAUCGUUUUAUCUGUAGCGUGAGGUUUUGAGUGUUGUCUUUUUUUGGAGCAAUUCAAAGGGACAAUAUUUCUUCGAUGAUCGCUCGGUUAACACGGAUAAAACGACUUCUGAGUGGU
rnacentral:snoRNA from 1 species